rnacentral:rRNA from 1 species
ACGAACGCUGGCGGCGUGCCUAAUACAUGCAAGUUGAGCGCUGAAGGUUGGUACUUGUACCAACUGGAUGAGCAGCGAACGGGUGAGUAACGCGUGGGGAAUCUGCCUUUGAGCGGGGGACAACAUUUGGAAACGAAUGCUAAUACCGCAUAAAAACUUUAAACACAAGUUUUAAGUUUGAAAGAUGCAAUUGCAUCACUCAAAGAUGAUCCCGCGUUGUAUUAGCUAGUUGGUGAGGUAAAGGCUCACCAAGGCGAUGAUACAUAGCCGACCUGAGAGGGUGAUCGGCCACAUUGGGACUGAGACACGGCCCAAACUCCUACGGGAGGCAGCAGUAGGGAAUCUUCGGCAAUGGACGAAAGUCUGACCGAGCAACGCCGCGUGAGUGAAGAAGGUUUUCGGAUCGUAAAACUCUGUUGGUGGAGAAGAACGUUGGUGAGAGUGGAAAGCUCAUCAAGUGACGGUAACUACCCAGAAAGGGACGGCUAACUACGUG